AUGGCGCGCCUCUUCCUCAUCCCAGAUCAGAUCCAGCGCCCCCAACCGCAUCCAUCCGUCAGAGGCGCUGGAGGCGCACUGUGCGGUUCUACUGGGCGGCGACCCGACGGCGUCCGGCGCAUCACGCGCCGAACCAUCUGUGCGGCGGCCGCUGAGUCCACCACGCCCACCCAGCCGCAGCCGGAAGAGCAGGAGGACGGGAUGAGCUCCGGGACGGGGAAUGUGGUGUGCGUCACCGGCGCGUCGGUCUACAUCGUGUCCUGGCUCGUCAAGUUCCUCCUCCAGUGUGGCUACACCAUCCGCGCCACCGUCAGCUGGUGGAUCCAUGGUUAUCGGCUGGUCCCCACUGCCGCAGCGAGGGAUUCAUCGAUUCAGUCAUUCAGUGAGUGGGGGACUAGGUUUUGUUCAGGAUGUGAAAUUGGAACUGAUAAUACAAGGAAGAAGAAGAAGAAGAAGAAGCUGACUGAAUUUGUUAGCAUGCCGUGGGUGACCGACCCCAAGAAAACAUUGCACCUGCAGGCCCUGGAUGGAGCCAAGGACAUUGCUAAUCUUCUCUGCUCCUCCUAA
rnacentral:rRNA from 1 species